AUUCCGCUCACAAAAAUCCCGCAUAAUGACGGGCUGAUGUGGAGAGGUGAGCCCUCUGGUGAGUUCACUGUUAGAAGUGUCUACAAACUAUUACAAGUUGAGAUAUAUGAUCCAAAUUUAGAGGAAUUACAAACUAUGUCUAGAAUUUACUAUCAAAGACUAUGGAGCCUUAAUCUACCUUCUAAACUUAGAAUUACAGUUUGGCGUAUUUCAAACAAUUUUAUCCUAUCUAUGUCAAACUUGUAUUUUAAAUGACUCAGGGACUGCAAUAUGCCCAAGAUGCAGGGAUGGAGUUGAAACCUUAGCGCAUGUCUUUCGUAGUUGCCCUGUUGCCAAUGAAGUUUAGGGAUUAAUGGGGUUAUCAGUGGUUCUCUCUAAUGUUAAUCAGGAGUGGAUUGAGUGGCUUACCUGGGUUUUUAACAUUUGUUCAACAUUGCAGUGCCGGAUAUUUUGCUGUACCCUUUGGGCUCUGUGGACUGAAAGAAAUAAAAGAGUUCAUGAGCAUACGAUUCAGUCAUGCAGAGAGAUCUCUAACUUGAUUCAUAGAUACAUCUGUGAGUUAGAUGGCUUCGAGGAAAAUGUGCAUACCAAGGUGGUCGACAUUACAAGAUGGGAGCCUCCUUCUAGGGAGUAGGUCAAGAUUAACUUUGACGCGGCAUUUGACAGGGCUCUUUUUCAGUCAAGGUCAGGUUUGUUGCGAGAAAUGCAAGAGGAAGGGUGGUUGUCUCUAGAUCAACUAUACAUAAGAACGUUGGCUCGGCUUUUACAGCGGAGGCCCUUGCCUGAUUUAGGGCAGCUCAAAUAGGGAUCGAUUUGGGCAUAACAGAAAUAAUUUUAGAAGGAGAUUCACUUUCGACUAUUAAAAAAUGCAAAUCAGUCUCUACUGAUAAGUCAGAAAUCUCUCCCUAUAUUCGAAAAAUUAAGAGCAUUUUAGGGAGUUUUUGAAAAAUAUGUUUCAUGCAUGUUAGAAGAUCGGCGAACAAGCUUGCUGAAGCUAUAGCUUCUGAAAGUUUGAGAAAAGGUGAGGAGUUUUACUUGAGGAGCUCUAUCCCGAGAUAUGCUAUGAAGAUUCUAGUAGACGAUUGGAUUCGCGAACCUAAUUGAGGCUUGUGGAAGAGUUCAAAUUUCGGGUCCUUGGGUGAAACAAAGGCUUUGUAGAUUUGGUCUUAAUGAAAUGAAACUUCUGGACACAGG
rnacentral:lncRNA from 1 species